AGGAACUGGCUCUUCUAAUUCGUAAACCCCCUCCGAACCGGUCGCUGAUGCGACGUCGCUCGUCAACAAAAAGUUUGUUCUUGUGGCGAUGGUCGCAACUGCACAUCCAAUGAGAAGCUCUCUUUCUCUGACAUCAUCAGCGAUACACUCAAAAUCAAAUGGCUACAAGCAUGGUCUGGAACGCUGGACGAGACGAGAAUGCAGAUUAAUAGAGUUGAUUAACGAAAGGGAAUAUCUGUGGGAUUUUAAUUCGGAUUUUAUUUUCGUCUUUCCAAUCUGUCCAUCUUGUAACUUAUACUUGAACAAGAC
rnacentral:lncRNA from 1 species